CCUACGGGUGGCUGCAGUGGGGAAUAUUGGACAAUGGGCGAAAGCCUGAUCCAGCCAUGCCGCGUGUGUGAAGAAGGCCUUCGGGUUGUAAAGCACUUUCAGUGGGGAAGAAAGCCUUGGGGCUAAUACCCUCGAGGAAGGACAUCACCCACAGAAGAAGCACCGGCUAACUCCGUGCCAGCAGCCGCGGUAAUACGGAGGGUGCGAGCGUUAAUCGGAAUUACUGGGCGUAAAGCGCGCGUAGGCGGUCUGAUAAGCCGGUUGUGAAAGCCCCGGGCUCAACCUGUGAACGGCAUCCGGAACUGUCAGGCUAGAGUGCAGGAGAGGAAGGUAGAAUUCCCGGUGUAGCGGUGAAAUGCGUAGAGAUCGGGAGGAAUACCAGUGGCGAAGGCGGUCUUCUGGACUGACACUGACGCUGAGGUGCGAAAGCGUGGGUAGCAAACAGGAUUAGAUACCCCGGUAGUC
rnacentral:rRNA from 1 species